GAACGAACGCUGGCGGCAUGCCUAACCCAUGCAAGUCGAACGAGACCUUCGGGUCUAGUGGCGCACGGGUGCGUAACGCGUGGGAACCUGCCCUUAGGUUCGGAAUAACUCCCCGAAAGGGGUGCUAAUACCGGAUAAUGUCUUCGGACCAAAGAUUUAUCGCCUUUGGAUGGGCCCGCGUUGGAUUAGCUAGUUGGUAGGGUAAAAGCCUACCAAGGCGACGAUCCAUAGCUGGUCUGAGAGGAUGAUCAGCCACACUGGGACUGAGACACGGCCCAGACUCCUACGGGAGGCAGCAGUGGGGAAUAUUGGACAAUGGGCGAAAGCGUGAUCCAGCAAUGCCGCGUGAGUGAUGAAGGCCUUAGGGUUGUAAAGCUCUUUUACCCGGGAUGAUAAUGACAGUACCGGGAGAAUAAGCUCCGGCUAACUCCGUG
rnacentral:rRNA from 1 species